CUGAGUUCAAAGACUUUACUUGAACUGCAUUUGCUAGUGCUUACGUGAUUCUCUCUGUUGCCUAAAGUUCAACUUGUACUAAAGGCAUGGUAGCAGGUGAGGGAAAAGGAGCAGUUUGGCAGGGCCAGUGGAGUCCAUUACCCUCUCGGCUCGCUUCCAAGCAGUGGUUUCUGAUGGGAAAACCUAGAGAAGAGCUCAUGGUUAUUAUUACCACUAAUAGAGCUUUUCCUGCAGGAGAGCUGGAGGCAUUAGGUCAUGGAUCGGGUGCUGCGCAUCGUGCUGCGAAAUGUGGAUCACAUCCCGUGUUUUCCCCCAUAGAUUUUAUCUUCUGAAUAGAAAAUGUCUUUUUUCUUUGUCAGUCUUCCUCAGGACAGAGUACUUGACUGGACCGGAAAUGUUAUACAACAAGAAUUACCUGUUCUGUUAACAUUUACAUUUAUAUAAAAGUCAGACAAACAGUGUCCAUGACACCGUUUCUGACUGUGCCACAAAUUCUUCCAGUUACUGUGUAUGUGUAAUCAACAGUUUUACUUUGAUCUUAUUAUUAUGUAUGACUCGAUACAUACAAUCCUCUUAAUUGCUUCUAGGUUUAUUUCUUAAAGAACAGUGAAUUGCUCUGAACAUUGCACCUAAGUCUAAAAUAAUGUGUGAGUAUUAAUGGGCUGUGGUUCUGUUUACGCAUAUACACCGUGCAGUUUUCACACUGACUGUGUUUCCCUUUUAUACUAUAUUUUUUUAAUCCGUUUUCAGCCACAGAGGAUUUAAUUCCACUUUACAAAAGUCUUGUCUGAACCCUCAGAUUAAGCUGAAAAGGUGCCAUGAAAUAUUGAAAAAGAGGAAAAAAUAGAAACAUAGCUCAUCAUUAGCUAACUGCAGGAUGCUACAAAAA